AAGAAGGUAUACUUUAGUUUGGCCCCCGUCUAUGUUCCUUGGAACAGGACGUCAUAGAGGGUGAGAAUCCCGUGCGAUGGGGUGUCCAUUCUUUGUAAGUUUCCUUCGACGAGUCGAGUUGUUUGGGAAUGCAGCUCUAAGUGGGUGGUAAAUUCCAUCUAAAGCUAAAUAUUGGCGAGAGACCGAUAGCGCACAAGUACAGUGAUGGAAAGAUGAAAAGAACUUUGAAAAGAGAGUGAAAAAGUACGUGAAAUUGUUGAAAGGGAAGGGUAUUUGAUCAGACUUGGUAUUAGAAUAUGGCAGCUCUCGGGUCGUCCUCUAUUCUUUUGCUGGGCCAGCAUCGGUUCGGAUGGCAAGAUACUUACGUUUGAAUGUGCCUCCUUGGAGUGUUAUAGCUUUCGUAGAUAUUGCCUGUCUGGACCGAGGACUGCGUCUUUUGACUAGGAUGCUGGCGUAAUGAUUAAAUACCGCCCGUCUUGAAACACGGACC
rnacentral:rRNA from 1 species